CAGUAGCCGCGGUAAUACGUAGGGUGCAAGCGUUAAUCGGAAUUACUGGGCGUAAAGCGUGCGCAGGCGGUUAUAUAAGACAGAUGUGAAAUCCCCGGGCUCAACCUGGGAACUGCAUUUGUGACUGUAUAGCUAGAGUACGGCAGAGGGGGAUGGAAUUCCGCGUGUAGCAGUGAAAUGCGUAGAUAUGCGGAGGAACACCGAUGGCAAAGGCAAUCCCCUGGGCCUGUACUGACGCUCAUGCACGAAAGCGUGGGGAGCAAACAGGAUUAGAUACCCCUGUAGUCCCUGUCUCUUAUAC
rnacentral:rRNA from 1 species